ACGCACUUGGAUACCUGGAGCAUUGCUCAGAGGAGGUGCCGAGGAACAAACCUUUGUGCCGGGUAGCGGCAGCCAAACAGGGGAUGAAACUGAAGGGGAGAACACAUUUAUUUGCCCUUGUUGAAGUGAGGCGAGCACCUGAGUGUGGCGUAAGUUCCGGGGGUUGAAUUGAAGGAGGCUGCAGCUCUCGCAGCGUUUGAAGGGUUGGAAUCGGGCUGUGCCGCUGCAUUGGAGGGCGCUUCUUCUGCCCCUGGCCCGGCAGCCAAGGCUGUGGCGCGGGAGCUGCUGGCGUUGCCUGGGGAGCUGCCGAGAAGUGUUGCACACACACUUGUAUUUCAUUAUGGAAAUGAAGCAAGGAAGCUGGAGAAUAAUCAGUAUGAAAAUCAGGGGCCUGGCUUCUCAUUUAUGUUGAAACAAGCAAAACUUUUCACCUGCUUGCUUUCCAUCCAGCAAACGGCUGGACUCUAGCUGAGCCUCACAACAGCAGCUUGUAAUCCCAAAAUCCGGAUGAAGCCCCAAGUCUGGGGAUUUGGGAAGCAAGGAUUCCAGUGCCAAGUUUCCUUUCCUCUGCCUGGAAUUCCUUCUACCAUCGUCAUUCUGCUGAGCCAGGAGCAGUUCUGCUGCUGAGGACUGAUCUGUACAGAGCCAGCUGAAGUUCUGGAGUCAGUCUUGUUUCCCCGGCAGAUGCUAUUCAUGGAUACAACCAAGAGUAAAAGCAGUAGGGCAGCUCUGUUUGUUCUUAAGUGCCUCAGAAGUGACUCUUUUUAGGAA